AGGAUUAUAUUUAAUAAUAAUAUUUAAUUUGCAAUUAAAAGGUACUCUUAAGAGUUAAUCUUA
rnacentral:tRNA from 1 species